rnacentral:rRNA from 1 species
ACGGUUACCUUGUUACGACUUCACCCCAGUCGCCAAUCCUACCUUCGGCAGCGCCCCCCUUGCGGUUAAGCUACUGACUUCGGGUAUUACCGGCUCCCAUGGUGUGACGGGCGGUGUGUACAAGGCCCGGGAACGUAUUCACCGCGGCAUGCUGAUCCGCGAUUACUAGCAAUUCCAACUUCACGCAGGCGGGUUGCAGCCUACGAUCCGAACUGAGACCAUUUUUGGGGUUUUGCUCCACCUCGCGGUAUUGCUUCCCUCUGUUAAUGGCCAUUGUAGUACGUGUGAGGCCCAGGUCAUAAGGGGCAUGAUGAUUUGACAUCAUCCCCACCUUCCUCCGUUUUGUCAACGGCGGUCCUGCUAGAGUGCUCUUGCGUAGCAACUAACAGUAAGGGUUGCGCUCGUUGCGGGACUUAACCCAACAUCUCACGACACGAGCUGACGACAACCAUGCACCACCUGUCACCUCUGCCCCGAAGGGAAGGUAUAUCUCUAUACCGGUCAGAGGGAUGUCAAGACCUGGUAAGGUUCUUCGCGUUGCUUCGAAUUAAUCCACAUACUCCACUGCUUGUGCGGGCCCCCGUCAAUUCCUUUGAGUUUCAGCCUUGCGGCCGUACUCCCCAGGUGGAUUACUUAUUGUG